AUACUUACCUGGUGCCGCGGCGUCGUUGAUCACCAAGGAUGAUCCCCCAGAGCGAGGAACGUGCACUGCGCUGUGCUCGUGUUGACUCCUGAGACUACCCGAAGCUGGGGCAGAUGGGGCAGGCAAUCAGCGCGCGCCGUCUGGCAAGAUGGAGACUUACAAUCUUUGAGUACUCUUA
rnacentral:snRNA from 1 species